GUUGGGUCGGCGCGGGCUUCUCAGGCCGCACGUGGGAUUCGGCCCGGUGCUCUUGUAAGCUGCUGCUCCUGCGGUUGGUGAGAUUACCUGGGUCUUGAGUGCGGAGCUGCUCCGUGGCCACGAGGACGGCACCAUGGUGGGCCCCCUCCUGCUCCCCCGAACCGCUUGCCUAAAGCACCAAAGGGAAAAAGUACAGGACGGGAAAAAAAAGUCAUCCAUCCAUAUAGUAGAAAAGCAGCUCAAAUUACGAGAGAGGCCCACAAACAAGAAAAAAAGGAAAAAUUGAAGAAUGAAAAGGCCUUGCGUCUCAACCUUGUUGGUGAAAAACUGCAAUGGUUUCAAAAUCAUCUUGAUCCCCAAAAAAAGAGAUAUUCAAAGAAAGAUGCUUGUGAACUAAUUGAAAGGUACCUAAAUCGAUUCAGCAGUGAGCUGGAGCAGAUUGAGUUACAUAACAGUAUCAGGGACAGGCAGGGGAGGCGGCACUGUUCCCGGGAGACCGUCAUCAAGCAGACGAUGGAGCGGGAGCGGGAGCAGUUUGAAGGAUAUGGCCUUG
rnacentral:sRNA from 1 species